ACCUGGAUAGCUCGGUUGGUUAGAGUGUGGUGCUGAACGCCAAGGUUGCAGGUUUGAUCCCCGUAUGGGACA